CUAUUACUUGACUCAAUAAAAAUAUUUUCAAAAGUUUCAUGUUUUAUUGUUUCACUAUUUCGAUUUAAUAUUUCAUCAACAAAUUUAUUUGCACAUAAAAUAGUUCUAUCUUCUCUUAAACAUCUAAUUAAACAUAAUUUGAUAAAACUACUAAUUUUACUAUUCACAUCUAAGCGAUCGUUAUAAUAAGGUAUAAUACGAUUCUCUAUGUCUAAAAUGUCGUAAUAAUUUCUCCAAGCAAUUUCAUUUUGUUGAAUAACAUUUAAAAUGUCAUAAAAAAAACAAUUAUUUUUACCAUGACCAAAUGAAUGAUUUGAAAGAGAUACAAUUGUUUUGUAUAAUUUUUCAUUCUUUAAUAACCAUUUACUUGAACCAGCACCUUUUAUAUUCUUUCCAUAUUUACCAGUCUUUGACGGUUCCAUUUUAGUUCUGUUUAAAGUUGUAUUCGAGCUAGUAUUUGUUGCAUUUGUUACAUUUGUUGUAUUUGUUACGUUUGUUGCGUUUGUUACGUUUGUUGCGUUUGUUACGUUNNNNNNNNNNUUUGUUACGUUUGUUGCGUUUGUUAUAUUUUCCAACUUAUCAUCAUCAUCAUUUUCACCAUCAUUAUUUUCACCAUCCUCUUCAUCAUUAUUAUCGUCUUCUUCAUCUCCUACCAUAUUUUCAUUCUCUUUAUAACUUUGGUUUUCUGUAUGUUCCCCAGCUGUAUCUUUUUUGUUUUUAUUCAAUUUAUCUGAUUUGGUUUUGGUUGUGUCAGUAGUAACCUCUGCGUUGAAAGUAACUGUGGCGUUCGCCGUGUCAGCCACAUCACCACCAUCACCACCACCAGCCUUAUUUGCAGCAAGAGCCGACCCAAUAGUAAGAGUAGCCGUUUCGCGAAAAAAGAUUUUAUGCAAAUCUUCUUCAUUAUACACAAAACCGUUAAUCGCAUUUACAUACUGAAGCAACAGCGCAUUCAACAAAUUAAUCGUUUGAGAAACUAAAAUUGAGUCACUUACUUUCAUAACGAGUUUACAAUUUUCCUUCACAAACAUAAGAAUAUUAAUUUUAUCCAAAUAAAAAAACAAAUAAUUUAUUAAAAAUAGAAUAA
rnacentral:lncRNA from 1 species